UACGUAGGGGGGCGAGCGUUGUCCGGAUUUAUUGGGCGUAAAGAGCGUGUAGGCGGCCAGGUAGGUCUGCUGUGAAAACUCGAGGCUCAACCUCGAGACGUCGGCGGAAACCAUCUGGCUAGAGUCCGGAAGAGGAGAGUGGAAUUCCUGGUGUAGCGGUGAAAUGCGCAGAUAUCAGGAGGAACACCGGUGGCGAAGGCGGCAUCCUGGACCGGUAUUGACGCUGAGGCGCGAAAGCCAGGGGAGCAAACGGGG
rnacentral:rRNA from 1 species